rnacentral:lncRNA from 1 species
UUGGAUUCUAUGUUGUUUGCAUAUGAACAGAGAAAGUCACAUGUUUUGUGAGUAACAGCAGAAGAAAUUGUAACUGGAUCACAAACCGAGAGCAAGUGAUAGGAGCCUCUGGUCUCCUGCUUCUGCCUUGAAGGAUCCUCAAGUCCUGGCCUGAUAACCCAAUCAUUGAAAUACUUAAAAUGUAUCCACUCGAAACAAUGCUUCAAAGAUAAACUCAUUGGCCACCCAUGUCAAACUAUAUGAAACUCGAAGAUGCGUUGUCUUGUUUUCAAUAUGUCUCCGCAGAGACAUCCCCUCCACACAUGCUUGUGCUGUUUUUUAAAACCAGAAAGGAGCAGUGAGCUGUUCCCAUUGGCCUUGCGCUUGAAUGCAACGCGCUGGACCCAGUUGGAGAGCAUGAUCCCCCAGCUGACAGACGCGGAGAGGACUCAGCUGGCAUAGUGCAUGAGGUAUGAGUAACGCUUGCUUUUCUUUCCAGCAGAUUAGAUUGUUUUUCUUUUCUCAACUGCUUUAGCAAAACUUUGGAGAAGCUCCUACUUCUUUUGACAGCAACACGAAUCAUAGAGAAAACAAAGAAGAGGCAGGGAGGUGGGGUGGCGGUUAUGGAAAGAGGCCAAUGUGAGGAAACUCAUUAAUAAUCCCAUAUUUAAGGGCAAAAUCAUCCAGAAACACAUAUUAUUUUCCUCACGUAGCAUUCUUUACCACUGUAAGAAAAAUAUAUGGAUGUUACUGUCCAUUCCUUCCACCAGUCUAUACCUUGAAUUGUUUUUCCAAGAGCCAUGUGUUUGAAUUCGUAUUUUCUCCAAUACCCCCUGGGACAAAGAACCUGUAUUUCCAGCAUGGCUCUCUAGAGAUGAUUUGUAGUCUGUGGUUAAAGCACUAAGUAAAGAUUAUAGGUACCUUUACUGAGGGUAAGUAAAACCCCUAUGCUAGAAAAAGGUUUACUAUAAGAAAUAAAGAUUAUUUUCCACUCA